rnacentral:rRNA from 1 species
AUAGCCGCAGUACUCUGACUGUGCAAAGGUAGCAUAAUCAAUUGGCUUAUAAUUGAAGUCCCGAAUGAAAGAAAAUAUGGGGGCAAGCUAUAUCAUAAACGUAUCUAGAAAUUAUUUAAUAAGUGAAAAGACUUAUACCAAAAUAAUAGACGAGAAGACCCUAGAAAUUUGGUUAAUUAAACGAUAGGUUUUGUUGGGGCGACACAGUAGCAUUAAAAACCUACUGAGAAAAAUAAGAAAAUUAUAUUCAGUGUAAAAAAAUUACUCUAGGGAUAACAGCAUAAUAUUUAAAAGUUUGUGACCUCGAUGUUGGAUUAGGAUACUAUCACUUAAAAGGUUAUUAGUUUAGCUCUGUUCG